rnacentral:rRNA from 1 species
GUGUCAGCAGCCGCGGUAAUACGGAGGGGGCUAGCGUUGUUCGGAAUUACUGGGCGUAAAGCGCACGUAGGCGGAUUGGAAAGUUGGGGGUGAAAUCCCAGGGCUCAACCCUGGAACUGCCUUCAAAACUCCCAGUCUGGAGGUCGAGAGAGGUGAGUGGAAUUCCGAGUGUAGAGGUGAAAUUCGUAGAUAUUCGGAGGAACACCAGUGGCGAAGGCGGCUCACUGGCUCGAUACUGACGCUGAGGUGCGAAAGCGUGGGGAGCAAACAGGAUUAGAUACCCCGGUAGUCC